rnacentral:rRNA from 1 species
UACGGAAGGCAGUAGUGGGGAAUAUUGCACAAUGGGCGCAAGCCUGAUGCAGCCAUGCCGCGUGUAUGAAGAAGGCCUUCGGGUUGUAAAGUACUUUCAGUCGUGAGGAAGGUGUUAAGGUUAAUAACCUUAGCAAUUGACGUUAGCGACAGAAGAAGCACCGGCUAACUCCGUGCCAGCAGCCGCGGUAAUACGGAGGGUGCGAGCGUUAAUCGGAAUUACUGGGCGUAAAGGGCACGCAGGCGGUUAAUUAAGUUGGAUGUGAAAUCCCCGGGCUUAACCUGGGAAUGGCAUUCAAGACUGGUUAGCUAGAGUCUUGUAGAGGGGGUAGAAUUCCAUGUGUAGCGGUGAAAUGCGUAGAGAUGUGGAGGAAUACCGGUGGCGAAGGCGGCCCCUGGACAAAGACUGACGCUCAUGUGCGAAAGCGUGGGGAGCAAACAGGGAUUAGAUACC